UAAUACUGGAUAGGCAAUUAUUCCUGUAAUGGUUUUUUGUUUAAAUGUUUUUUCGCCUAAGGAUGGGUCUGCGGCCGAUUAGGUAGUUGGUUAGGUAAUGGCUUACCAAGCCUUUGAUCGGUACGGGUUGUGAGAGCAAGAGCCCGGAGAUGGAACCUGAGACAAGGUUCCAGGCCCUACGGGGUGCAGCAGGCACGAAACCUCCGCAAUGUGAGAAAUCGCGACGGGGGGAUCCCAAGUGCCAUUCUUAACGGGAUGGCUUUUCUUUAGUGUAAAAAGCUUUUGGAAUAAGAGCUGGGCAAGACCGGUGCCAGCCGCCGCGGUAACACCGGCAGCUCUAGUGGUAGCAAUUUUUAUUGGGCCUAAAGCGUCCGUAGCCGGUUUAAUAAGUCUCUGGUGAAAUCCUGUAGCUUAACUGUGGGAAUUGCUGGAGAUACUAUUAGACUUGAGACCGGGAGAGGUUAGAGGUACUCCCAGGGUAGAGGUGAAAUUCUGUAAUCCUGGGAGGACCGCCUGUUGCGAAGGCGUCUAACUGGAACGGUUCUGACGGUGAGGGACGAAAGUUAGGGGCGCGAACCGGAUUAGAUACCCGGGUAGUCCUAACUGUAAACGAUGCGGACUUGGUGUUG
rnacentral:rRNA from 1 species